CACGUAGGGUGCGAGCGUUGUCCGGAAUUAUUGGGCGUAAAGAGCUCGUAGGCGGUCUGUCACGUCGGAUGUGAAAAGCCCGGGGCUUAACCCCGGGUCUGCAUUCGAUACGGGCAGACUAGAGUGUGGUAGGGGAGAUCGGAAUUCCUGGUGUAGCGGUGAAAUGCGCAGAUAUCAGGAGGAACACCGGUGGCGAAGGCGGGUCUCUGGGCCGAUACUGACGCUGAGGAGCGAAAGCGUGGGGAGCAAACAGG
rnacentral:rRNA from 1 species